rnacentral:rRNA from 1 species
AACGAACGCUGGCGGCAUGCCUAACACAUGCAAGUCGAACGAGACCUUCGGGUCUAGUGGCGCACGGGUGCGUAACGCGGGGGAACCUGCCCUUAGGUUCGGAAUAACUCCCCGAAAGGGGUGCUAAUACCGGAUAAUGUCUUCGGACCAAAGAUUUAUCGCCUUUGGAUGGGCCCGCGUUGGAUUAGCUAGUUGGUAGGGUAAAAGCCUACCAAGGCGACGAUCCUUAGCUGGUCUGAGAGGAAGAUCAGCCACACUGGGACUGAGACACGGCCCAGACUCCUACGGAAGGCAGGAGUGGGGAAUAUUGGACGAUGGGCGAAAGCCUGAUCCAGCAAUGCCGCGUGAGUGAUGAAGGCCUUAGGGUUGUAAAGCUCUUUUACCCGGGAUGAUAAUGACAGUACCGGGAGAAUAAGCACCGGCUAACUCCGUG